GUACAACAUACCACAGCAUCCACUAUACUGACCCUCCUAGAAGGUACAACAUACCACAGCACCACUAUACUGACCCUCCUGAAGAAGGUACAACAUACCACAGCACCCACUAUAACUGACCACCCACCAUCCUGACUCCCUCCUAGAAGGUACAACAUACCACAGCACCCACUAUACUGACCAUCCUGACCCUCCUAGAAGGUACAACAUACCACAGCACCCACCAUCCUGACCCUCCUAGAAGGUACAACAUACCACAGCACCCACUAUAACUGACCACCCACCAUCCUGACCCUCCUAGAAGGUACAACAUACCACAGCACCCACUAUACUGACCCUCCUAGAAGGUACAACAUACCACAGCACCCACUAUACUGACCCUCCUAGAAGGUACAACAUACCACAUCACCCACUAUACUGAGCCUCCUAGAAGGUACAACAUACCACAGCACCCACUAUACUGACCCUCCACUAUACUGACCCUCCUAGAAGGUACAACAUACCACAGCACCCACUAUACUGACCCUCCUAGAAGGUACAACAUACCACAGCACCCACUAUAACUGACCCUCCUAGAAGGUACAACAUACCACAGCACCCAAUAUAACUGACCAUCCACUAUACUGACCCUCCUAGAAGGUACAACAUACCACAGCACCCACUAUACUGACCAUCCAGACCCUCCUAGAAGGUACAACAUACCACAGCACCCACUAUACUGACCCUCCUAGAAGGUACAACAUACCACAGCAUCCACUAUACUGACCCUCCUAGAAGGUACAACUUACCACAGCACCCACUAUAACUGACCACCCACCAUCCUGACCCUCCUAGAAGGUACACCAUACCACAGCACCCACUAUAACUGACCCUCCUAGAAGGUACACCAUACCACAGCACCCACUAUACUGACCCUCCUAGAAGGUACAACAUACCACAGCACACACUAUACUGACCCUCCUAGAAGGUACACCAUACCACAGCACCCACUAUAACUGACCCUCCUAGAAGGUACAACAUACCACAGCACCCAAUAUAACUGACCAUCCACUAUACUGACCCUCCUAGAAGGUACAACAUACCACAGCACCCACUAUACUGACCAUCCUGACCCUCCUAGAAGGUACAACAUACCACAGCACCCGCUAUAACUGACCACCCACCAUCCUGACCCUCCUAGAAGGUACAACAUACCACAGCACCCACUAUACUGACCAUCCUGACCCUCCUAGAAGGUACAACAUACCACAGCACCCACUAUAACUGACCACCCACCAUCCUG
ensembl:lncRNA